rnacentral:lncRNA from 1 species
UUCCCUUCGCUGUGCUGUGUCUGCAAUUUUCGUAAGUCAUUUUCUUGUCAAUACUCAUGAUGAAGCCUGAUACAGAGAAGUUAGAUUUAGCAACGAUGUACAAGAAGAUGUAAGCCCCACAUAAGCCCCACAACAAGGGCAAUGUUGUUCUAGGCAACUCGAACGAAUGAAUUGAAGUAAAAGAAAAGACUCUGAUCUAGCUUUUCAAUCUUUAAAAGCAGCGGAAGUGUUCUUGGAUAUGGUCCAAGAAUUGGUGAUCUCAGAUCUAAACGCUGCACAAUCAUCCUGCAUCAAAAGCAGGAUGAAAGUUCCUGCAGAGAAUGUGUCAUGGCGAUGUCCAUUCAUACUUGUGAGAUCUCUGCUGGCAUGGCUGGUUGCUUGCAUUGUUGGAGGGAUAUUUUGUGUAUCCAAACCUAAAACUAUUGUAACGUAGUGUUCCGGAUUGAAUCGAUAAUAAGGCGAUAAACCUUUUCUUGUGGGGACUUCUGGGGGGUACGCUUCAGAAUUCAGAGCUUAACUAUGGCAUUGAAAGGUCGAGCUCUCUGUGGAUCGCGUCGAGAUGGAGGAAGUCAGUGGCAUUAGGCCACUGUGAUCUGAAAAUCUCAGUCGCAGAUCUUUCACAUUCUUUUCCCAGCUGGGACAGAACAGGAAGCUUGGAUGAUCUUGGACCAAACCGAUGGUUACCCAUGUUGGUUACCACGCCGAAGGUUUGCUAAAUCGGAAAAGGAAGUCAAAAACCAGCUUUCAGGUUCUAAUGCUAAGGCUAAGGCGACGAGGUUAGUACAACUUUUAAGUUGAUUUGGUAUCCUAGCAUAUGCGGAGUCGAAAGGUAAGUUUCUGAACAGACUUUGUGUAACAAAGAAACGAGAAUGGUAAAAUGGGGACUAGAGGCAUCAGAAGUAGAGCUCGCACUCAAGUCUGAACAUAGCUUCAGUUAAAAAUGUGAUGGCCUUGUUACAGCAAUUUGAUCAAUGAUCAUC